AAUGGGCGAAAGCCUGACCCAGCAACGCCGCGUGAAGGAAGAAGGCCUUCGGGUUGUAAACUUCUUUUAUGAGGGACGAAGGAAGUGACUGUACCUCAUGAAUAAGCCACGGCUAACUACGUGCCAGCAGCCGCGGUAAUACGUAGGUGGCAAGCGUUGUCCGGAUUUACUGGGUGUAAAGGGCGCGUAGGCGGACUGGCAAGUCAGAUGUGAAAUCCAUGAGCUCAACUCAUGAACUGCAUUUGAAACUGUUGGUCUUGAGUAUCGGAGAGGCAAGCGGAAUUCCUAGUGUAGCGGUGAAAUGCGUAGGUAUUAGGAGGAACACCAGUGGCGAAGGCGGCUUGCUGGACGACAACUGACGCUGAGGCGCGAAAGCGUGGGGAGCAAA
rnacentral:rRNA from 1 species